rnacentral:rRNA from 1 species
UCUGGCCCCUCCGGGUCCGAGUUGUAAUUUGUAGAGGAUGCUUUUGGUGAGGUGCCGCCCGAGUUCCCUGGAACGGGACGCCACAGAGGGUGAGAGCCCCGUCUGGCUGGCCGCCGAACCUAUGUAAAGCUCCUUCGACGAGUCGAGUAGUUUGGGAAUGCUGCUCAAAAUGGGAGGUAUAUGUCUUCUAAAGCUAAAUACUGGCCAGAGACCGAUAGCGCACAAGUAGAGUGAUCGAAAGAUGAAAAGCACCUUGAAAAGAGGGUUAAAUAGUACGUGAAAUUGUUGAAAGGGAAGCGCUUGUGACCAGACUUGGGCGCGGCGGAUCAUCCGGGGUUCUCCCCGGUGCACUUCGCCGCGUCCAGGCCAGCAUCAGUUCGUCGCGGGGGAAAAAGGCUUCGGGAACGUGGCUCCUCCGGGAGUGUUAUAGCCCGUUGCAUAAUACCCUGCGGUGGACUGAGGACCGCGCAUCUGCAAGGAUGCUGGCGUAAUGGUCACCAGCGACCCGUCUUGAAACACGGACCAAGGAGUCGUCUUCGUAUGCGAGUGUUCGGGUGUCAAACCCCUACGCGUAAUGAAAGUGAACGCAGGUGAGAGCUU